rnacentral:rRNA from 1 species
UACGAAGGGGGCUAGCGUUGUUCGGAUUUACUGGGCGUAAAGCGCACGUAGGCGGAUCGUUAAGUCAGGGGUGAAAUCCUGGGGCUCAACCCCAGAACUGCCUUUGAUACUGGCGAUCUCGAGUCCGGAAGAGGUGAGUGGAACUCCUAGUGUAGAGGUGGAAUUCGUAGAUAUUAGGAAGAACACCAGUGGCGAAGGCGGCUCACUGGACCGGAACUGACGCUGAGGCGCGAAAGCGUGGGGAGCAAACAGG